AAUGUAAAUUCAUGGAAGGGUUUAUAUUAUCCUGGUUAAUGGGAAAUUAUAAACUGAUCCGCCACUGUCAUUGAGAAGAUAUAUAAUCCUGAUCAGGUUCAUUAUCUCCUGCACUGUAUGAGCAUUAUCCAUACGGCAUGAAAUGAACAGAGACCAAUGCAUAUUUGGAGCUUCGUGGAGAUCUAAUCAGGACAAGAGUAAAUUGGACGGAGCAGAUGAAAAAGCAACCAGACCCUUAUUAAUCAAAUGCUAAAUCAAAAUAAAUCUCUGAAUAAAAUAA